rnacentral:rRNA from 1 species
GGUGCCACCAUCCGGUGGCCGCAGAGAAUAGGCCCAAGCGACUGUUUACCAAAAACAUAGGUUUCUGCUAAGUCGCAAGACGAUGUAUAGGAGCUGACGCCUGCCCGGUGCUGGAAGGUUAAGGGGAGCUGUUAGAGUAAUCGAAGCAGUGAACUUAAGCCCCAGUAAACGGCGGCCGUAACUAUAACGGUCCUAAGGUAGCGAAAUUCCUUGUCGGGUAAGU